rnacentral:rRNA from 1 species
GACGAACGCUGGCGGCGUGCUUAACACAUGCAAGUCGAACGGAAAGGCCCUGCCUUUGUGGGGUGCUCGAGUGGCGAACGGGUGAGUAACACGUGAGUAACCUGCCCUUGACUUUGGGGUAACUUCAGGAAACUGGGGCUAAUACCGGAUAGGAGCUCCUGCUGCAUGGUGGGGGUUGGAAAGUUUCGGCGGUUGGGGAUGGACUCGCGGCUUAUCAGCUUGUUGGUGGGGUAGUGGCUUACCAAGGCUUUGACGGGUAGCCGGCCUGAGAGGGUGACCGGCCACAUUGGGACUGAGAUACGGCCCAGACUCCUACGGGAGGCAGCAGUGGGGAAUAUUGCACAAUGGGCGGAAGCCUGAUGCAGCAACGCCGCGUGCGGGAUGACGGCCUUCGGGUUGUAAACCGCUUUCGCCUGUGACGAAGCGUGAGUGACGGUAAUGGGUAAAGAAGCACCGGCUAACUACGUG